UACGUAGGGUGCAAGCGUUAAUCGGAAUUACUGGGCGUAAAGCGUGCGCAGGCGGUUAUGUAAGACAGGUGUGAAAUCCCCGGGCUUAACCUGGGAACUGCAUUUGUGACUGCAUAGCUAGAGUACGGUAGAGGGGGAUGGAAUUCCGCGUGUAGCAGUGAAAUGCGUAGAUAUGCGGAGGAACACCGAUGGCGAAGGCAAUCCCCUGGACCUGCACUGACGCUCAUGCACGAAAGCGUGGGGAGCAAACAGG
rnacentral:rRNA from 1 species